CCUACGGGAGGCAGCAGUAAGGAAUAUUGGUCAAUGGAGGCAACUCUGAACCAGCCAUGCCGCGUGCAGGAAGAAGGCCCUAUGGGUCGUAAACUGCUUUUGUACCAGAGAAAACCCGAGUACGUGUACUCGGUUGAUAGUAUGGUAAGAAUAAGCAUCGGCUAACUUCGUGCCAGCAGCCGCGGUAAGACGAAGGAUGCAAGCGUUAUCCGGAUUCAUUGGGUUUAAAGGGUGCGUAGGCGGACUGAUAAGUCAGUGGUGAAAUCUCUCGGCUUAACCGAGAAACUGCCAUUGAUACUGUUAGUCUAGAGUAUAGAUGACGUUGGCGGAAUAUGACAUGUAGUGGUGAAAUACUUAGAUAUGUCAUAGAACACCGAUUGCGAAGGCAGCUAACGAAACUAUAACUGACGCUGAGGCACGAAAGUNCGGGGGAUCAAACAGGAUUAGAUACCCUGGUAGUCCGCACCGUAAACGAUGAUUACUCGUUGUUGGCAAAUUAUAGACCGUCAGCGACCGACGACGAACGACGAGUAAGUAAUACCUACCGUACGGGUAGGUACGGACCGGACCGACGGACGAACGACGAAAGAAAGUUAGACGGACGAGAGACGUAGACGACGGACGACGACGAGGGAGGAGG
rnacentral:rRNA from 1 species